GACGAACCGUGCGAACGUUGUUCGGAAUCACUGGGCUUAAAGGGCGCGUAGGUGGGUCAGCAAGUCCGGGGUGAAAUCUUUCGGCUCAACCGGAAAAGUGCCUCGGAUACUGCUGGUCUUGAGGGAGGUAGGGGUUUGUGGAACUUCUGGUGGAGCGGUGAAAUGCGUUGAUAUCAGAAGGAACGCCGGUGGCGAAAGCGACGAACUGGACCUCUUCUGACGCUGAGGCGCGAAAGCUAGGGGAGCAAACGGG
rnacentral:rRNA from 1 species